rnacentral:sRNA from 1 species
AAACGACGGUGCAGUAUCCUAGUCAGAUCUGCCGUUUCUGAAGAAGGGCCUAAAAAUCCUUUGAAGGGCAUAACUGUGAAACCCUUGGUGCCUGCUUCUUACGCCCAGUUUGGGGUGGGUGCUGAGUGGGAAGUGCGUACUCUCGUGCUUGCGGAUUCAGGGCGCUCCCCAAUGGCAUGGGGAAUGUGACCCUGCUUUCGUGGAGACCUGUUUACGUGCAUAGGCGUACUCCCUUGCGGUACCGCGACCUGUGUACGACUCAGGGUGGAAACCUGUAUUGCGGUGCUACCCGGCCUUGAGCCGUGAACGCUGUGUGCAGAGUAGCCUGCCUUGCGUGGGUAUGGCGAAUAGGAGAACACGCGGCUGCCUCCCCGGCCAGGGAGGAACCGUGAUCGCUCCUUGAAACCAUGGCUGCAAAAGAGGCUAAGAAACGGCGUGACUGUAGUGGAAAACACCUAGGCUGUCGUGAUUGGGCCAGUAGAGGAUUGCAGUGCGGACUAAGUGGCAGUCGGGUAUUGCGGUGGGCAACGCCGCGGCGGGACGCUGAAAGGGAAACCACCUGAUCGGCAACGAGAGGCGCGUCCCGGGGAAAUCCAACCCGUACCUAAGCCGUAAGAUUUACUUUACUGGUUGCCGU